rnacentral:lncRNA from 1 species
CUGGGUCAAAGGUCAUCGCAAUGGCCGGGAAGAACUUCCUCUUCCUUGGCUCUCCCCACUUACUUCCUGAUAACCUGAGUUGAAGUCGGUGAAGACAUUCAUGAUUUAAACACCAGAUCCUGAAAGGCAUUAAAUCUACUUUGAAAUGAAUCUGCAAUCAGUAUUUCAAAGCUUUUCUGACGUUGCUGAAUUUGAAUUGGGAUCACAUGUGUUUCCUCAUCUAGGACCUGGUGAACUUCCAACACUAUGUUGAAUAGGAG